rnacentral:rRNA from 1 species
GACGAACGCUGGCGGCGUGCCUAAUACAUGCAAGUAGGACGCAGUUGCGAACGGGUGAGUAACGCGUAGGUAACUACCUAUUAGAGGGGGGUAACUAUUGGAAACGAUAGCUACUACCGCAUACUAGUAGAUGGACCUGCGUUGUAUUAGCUAGUAGGUAUGGUAAUGGCCGACCUAGGCAACGAUACAUAGCCGACCUGAGAUGGGGAUCGGCCAAACUGGGACUGGGUCAAGGCCCAGAAUCCUACGGGAGGCAGCAGUAGGGAAGUUUCGGCAAUGGGGGGAACCCUGACCGGGCAACGCCGCGUGAUUGAAGAAGGUUUUCGGAUCGGAAAGCUCUGUUGUUAAGGAAGCGGUACUUAACCAGAAAGGGACGGCUAACUACGUGCCAGCAGCCGCGGUAAUAC